rnacentral:tRNA from 4 species
GCUGAUGUGGCUCAGUGGUAGAGCAGCGCACUCGUAAUGCGCAGGUCGAGGGUUCGAAUCCCUCCAUCAGCUCCA